rnacentral:rRNA from 1 species
AGAGUUUGAUUCUGGCUCAGAACGAACGCUGGCGGCGUGGAUAAGACAUGCAAGUCGGACGGGGCAAUCGUUGUAGCAAUACGGCGGUUGUUCAGUGGCGAACGGGUGCGUAACACGUGGGCAAUCUGCCGGGAAGUGGGGGAUAGCUCGCCGAAAGGCGAAUUAAUACCGCAUGUGGCCAGGGAGGACAUCCUCCUGACGCCUAAGCCGGGGUCAAACCUGGCGCUUCCUGAUGAGCCCGCGGCCUAUCAGCUAGUUGGUGGGGUCACGGCCCACCAAGGCGAUGACGGGUAGCUGGUCUGAGAGGACGACCAGCCACACUGGGACUGAGACACGGCCCAGACACCUACGGGUGGCAGCAGUCGAGAAUUUUUCUCAAUGGGGGAAACCCUGAAGGAGCGACGCCGCGUGGAGGAUGAAGGUCUUCGGAUUGUAAACUCCUGUCAUUAGAGAACAAGUGCCGGCAUUUAACUGGUGCCGGCUUGAUAGUAUCUGAAGAGGAAGAGACGGCUAACUCUGUGCCAGCAGCCGCGGUAAUACAGAGGUCUCAAGCGUUGUUCGGAUUCAUUGGGCGUAAAGGGUGCGUAGGCGGCGCCGUAAGUCAGGUGUGAAAUCCCGGGGCUCAACCCCGGAGCGGCACUUGAUACUGCGGUGCUUGAGGACUGGAGAGGAGACUGGAAUUCCCGGUGUAGCAGUGAAAUGCGUAGAUAUCGGGAGGAAGGCCAGUGGCGAAGGCGGGUCUCUGGACAGUUCCUGACGCUGAGGCACGAAGGCCAGGGGGGCAAACGGGAUUAGAUACCCCGGUAGUCCUGGCAGUAAACGGUGCACGUUUGGUGUGGGAGGAUUCGACCCCUUCCGUGCCGGAACUAACGCGUUAAACGUGCCGCCUGGGGAGUACGGUCGCAAGAUUAAAACUCAAAGAAAUUGACGGGGGCCCGCACAAGCGGUGGAGUAUGUGGCUUAAUUCGAUGCAACGCGAAGAACCUUACCAGGCCUUGACAUGCUGGGAUUAGCUGGGUGAAAGCCCGGUGAUUGCCCGAAAGGGUGUAACCAGCACAGGUGCUGCAUGGCUGUCGUCAGCUCGUGUCGUGAGAUGUUGGGUUAAGUCCCGCAACGAGCGCAACCCCUGUGAACUGUUGCCACCGGCCCGAGAGGGUCGAGCACUCUGUUCAGACUGCCCCUUCAAAGGGGGAGGAAGGUGGGGACGACGUCAAGUCAGGAUGGCCCUUACGGCCUGGGCUGCACACGUACUACAAUGCCCGGUACAGAAUGAUCCUAAACCGCGAGGUGGAGGAAAUCUCUAAAACCGGGCCCAGUUCGGAUUGGAGGCUGCAACUCGCCUCCAUGAAGCCGGAAUCGCUAAUAAUGGCGCAUCAGCUACGGCGCCGUGAAUACGUUCCCGGGCCUUGUACACACCGCCCGUCACAUCAUGGGAGUCGUUUGUACCCGAAGUCGGCGCGCCAACCGCAAGGAGGCAGCCGCCUAAGGUAUGAGCGGCGACUGGGAUGAAGUCGUAACAAGGUA